rnacentral:rRNA from 1 species
CAGUAGCCACGGUAAUACGGAGGGUGCAAGCGUUAAUCGGAAUUACUGGGCGUAAAGCGUGCGUAGGUGGUGGUUUAAGUCCGUUGUGAAAGCCCUGGGCUCAACCUGGGAAUUGCAGUGGAUACUGGGUCACUAGAGUGUGGUAGAGGAUAGUGGAAUUUCCGGUGUAGCAGUGAAAUGCGUAGAGAUCGGAAGGAACAUCUGUGGCGAAGGCGACUAUCUGGGCCAACACUGACACUGAGGCACGAAAGCGUGGGGAGCAAACAGGAUUAGAGACCCCUGUAGUCCCUGUCUCUUAUAA